AGAAAUUUAGGUUAACACCCACCAAACCAAGGGCCUUCAAAGCCCUAAACAGAGAACCAAUAAACCUCUAAUUUCUG
rnacentral:tRNA from 1 species